rnacentral:rRNA from 1 species
UGGGGAAUAUUGCACAAUGGGCGAAAGCCUGAUGCAGCAACGCCGCGUGAGUGAUGAAGGUCUUCGGAUUGUAAAGCUCUGUCUUUUGGGACGAUAAUGACGGUACCAAAGGAGGAAGCCACGGCUAACUACGUGCCAGCAGCCGCGGUAAUACGUAGGUGGCGAGCGUUGUCCGGAUUUACUGGGCGUAAAGGGUGCGUAGGCGGAUGUUUAAGUGAGAUGUGAAAUACCCGGGCUUAACUUGGGUGCUGCAUUUCAAACUGGAUAUCUAGAGUGCAGGAGAGGAGAAUGGAAUUCCUAGUGUAGCGGUGAAAUGCGUAGAGAUUAGGAAGAACACCAGUGGCGAAGGCGAUUCUCUGGACUGUAACUGACGCUGAGGCACGAAAGCGUGGGUAGCAAACAGGAUUAGAUACCCUGGUAGUCCACGCCGUAAACGAUGAGUACUAGGUGUAGGAGGUAUCGACCCCUUCUGUGCCGCAGUAAACACAUUAAGUACUCCGCCUGGGAAGUACGAUCGCAAGAUUA